ensembl:miRNA
AUCACUGCUGACAGUCAGUAGUUGGUCUGGGGUAAGCAGGAAAUCUCAGAUCAUCUCUUGACUGUGGAUGGUGUAGGGGAAUU